AACUGUUAAUCUAGAGAUUGAAAGAGGAUAGAGGAAUUCCUAGUGUAGAGGUAAAAUUCGUAAAUAUUAGGAGGAACACCAGUGGCGAAGGCGUCUAUCUGGUUCAAAUCUGACGCUGAGGCGCGAAGGCGUGGGGAGCAAACAGGAUUAGAUACCCUGGUAGUCCACGCUGUAAACGAUGAAUGUUAAAUAUGGGAAAUUUAUUUUCUGUAUUACAGCUAACGCGUUAAACAUUCCGCCUGGGGACUACGGUCGCAAGAUUAAAACUCAAAGGAAUUGACGGGGACCCGCACAAGCGGUGGAGCAAGUGGUUUAAUUCGAUGCAACGCGAAAAACCUUACCACUCCUUGACAUGGAAAUCAUACCUAUUCAAAGGGAUAGGGUCGGUUCGGCCGGAUUUCACACAGGUGUUGCAUGGCUGUCGUCAGCUCGUGUCAUGAGAUGUUGGGUUAAGUCCCGCAACGAGCGCAACCCUCAUCCUUAGUUACCAUCAGAUAAUGCUGGGGACUUUAAGGAAACUGCUAGUGAUAAACUGGAGGAAGGUGGGGAUGAUGUCAAGUCAUCAUGGCCCUUAUGGAGUGGGCUACACACGUGCUACAAUGGUGGCUACAAUGGGCUGCAAGGUCGCGAGGCUAAGCUAAUCCCUUAAAAGCCAUCUCAGUUCGGAUUGCACUCUGCAACUCGAGUGCAUGAAGUUGGAAUCGCUAGUAAUCGUGGAUCAGCAUGCCACGGUGAAUACGUUCUCGGGUCUUGU
rnacentral:rRNA from 1 species